rnacentral:tRNA from 1 species
CCUGGUGGCUGAAAUGGUAAAGAAUCUGCCUGCAAUGCAGAAGUCCCAGGUCCAAUCCCUGAGUCAGG